GACGGAAGAAGCGAGAUUUGGAAGCUGAUGAAGAGGAUCUGAAUGUCUUGGAAAGAAGUAAACGACAGAGCAGUGUAAGUGUUACUCACUCUGGCAGCUCUGGGCCGUAUGAUUACAGCGUCGGCGGACAUGUCAACUUUAAACCCAAAAGCGUUGGUGUGCACGGUUCACUCACACGUAAUUUCGACAAUGGUGGCUACGUCGGUGCCAGCGGGUACAGAAAUUUUGGAGCAGGUGAAAGCAGCGGCGUUGGCGUCCAUGGAGGGUACACCUCCCCGUCUGGUUUCAGAGUGGGUGGGGAGUUGAGGCGAGACUCUAAUCCUUACGGCAGUUCCACCUCAGGGAGUGCAGAACUUGGGUACGAAAGUAAAGGAGGUACCAGAGUGUCCGCUUACGGACAGAGAGACUUUCAAACUGGGGACACCUCCGCCGGGCUUCGUGUCCGUAUACCGUUUGGGCGGAAGAAACGGGAUCUGGCAGCUGAAGAAGAGGAUCUGGAAGAUUUGGACAGAAGG